GUCUGGUGCCAGCAGCCGCGGUAAUUCCAGCUCCCAUAGCGUAUAUUAAAGUUGUUGCAGUUAAAAAGCUCGUAGUUGAAUUUCGGGAUUUUGUCCGUUGGUCGGGCUUUUCGGUCCGCACUGGCGUGAUGGAUUCCUACCCUUCUGAAUAACCGGCAUGUCAUUAAUUUGGUGCGCCGGGGAAGCAGGACUGUACCUUGAAAAAAUUAGAGUGU
rnacentral:rRNA from 1 species